rnacentral:rRNA from 1 species
GAUGAACGCUGGCGGCGUGCCUAAUACAUGCAAGUCGAGCGAACGGACGAGAAGCUUGCUUCUCUGAUGUUAGCGGCGGACGGGUGAGUAACACGUGGAUAACCUACCUAUAAGACUGGGAUAACUUCGGGAAACCGGAGCUAAUACCGGAUAAUAUUUUGAACCGCAUGGUUCAAAAGUGAAAGACGGUCUUGCUGUCACUUAUAGAUGGAUCCGCGCUGCAUUAGCUAGUUGGUAAGGUAACGGCUUACCAAGGCAACGAUGCAUAGCCGACCUGGGAGGGUGAUCGGCCACACUGGAACUGAGACACGGUCCAGACUCCUACGGGAGGCAGCAGUAGGGAAUCUUCCGCAAUGGGCGAAAGCCUGACGGAGCAACGCCGCGUGAGUGAUGAAGGUCUUCGGAUCGUAAAACUCUGUUAUUAGGGAAGAACAUAUGUGUAAGUAACUGUGCACAUCUUGACGAUACCUAAUCAGAAAGCCACGGCUAACUACGUG